rnacentral:rRNA from 1 species
CAGCCCCUCGAGUGGUGGGGAUGAUUAUUUGGCCUAAAGCAUCCGUAGCCGGCCGUGUAAGUCCCCCGUUAAAUCCAGCGUCUCAAGCGUUGGACUGCGGGAGAUACUGCUCGGCUAGAGAGUGGGAGAGGUGUGCGGUAUUCUGGGGGUAGGGGCGAAAUCCUUUGAUCCCCGGAGGACCACCAGUGGCGAAGGCUGCACACUAGAACACGUCUGACGGUCAGGGACGAAAGCUGGGGUAGCGAACCGGAUUAGAUACCCGAGUAGUCC